GGUGUUGGAUGCUGCAUGCUUGAGUUACAAAAGUGAUGAUUUAACAGUUGGGUCAUGUGCAAACACUUCACAUAGUAGUCCAGACAUUAAAAGGAGAAAACAAAGCAACAAGCCAUCUCAAAUGGAACACAAGUCUUGAGAUUGUGUUGGUUUUUGGAUGAAUGAUGGAAUUGGAUUUGGAGGGGGUGCCCUUUAAGUUACAGUAAUAUACAAGAAAAAAGAGAAUGAGACACAGGGUUCUGUGAGGAAUAAAUAAAAAGGUUCAAGGAAAAAAUUCAAGAGCUCCCAAGCUGUUCAUAUAUUGACUAGAAUUCUCAGCAACUAAGGCUAAGCUCAUAUUUAUAACAAAGCUGAAGCUGAUGGCUAGGGAUUAAUGUGGUGGUUCCUCUGCAGAGUUAUACAGUUUUUGUUGUAGCUUCUUUUUCAAGUGAGAGAAAAAGAAAUGAAAAUAUACAUUUAUAUAGAGAAUGAAAGUUAUCUCUUCUUCAAUUUCCAUUUCCCCCUUCCAUUAAU
rnacentral:misc_RNA from 1 species